rnacentral:rRNA from 1 species
UACGAAGGGGGCUAGCGUUGCUCGGAAUCACUGGGCGUAAAGCGCACGUAGGCGGAUUGCUAAGUCAGGGGUGAAAUCCUGGAGCUCAACUCCAGAACUGCCUUGAUACUGGUGAUCUUGAGUCCGGGAGAGGUGAGUGGAACUGCGAGUGUAGAGGUGAAAUUCGUAGAUAUUCGCAAGAACACCCAGUGGCGAAGGCGGCUCACUGGCCC